AUGGCUCAGUGGUGGGGCACCUGCCUAGCAUGCAGGAGGCCCUGGGUUCCAGCUCCAGU
rnacentral:tRNA from 1 species